AUUGAACGCUGGCGGAAUGCUUUACACAUGCAAGUCGAACGGCAGCACGGACUUCGGUCUGGUGGCGAGUGGCGAACGGGUGAGUAACAUAUCGGAACGUAUCCAAUAAUGGGGGAUAACUAAUCGAAAGGUAGGCUAAUACCGCAUACGCCCUACGGGGGAAAGCUAGGGACCUUCGGGCCUGGCGUUAAUGGAGCGGCCGAUAUCUGAUUAGCUAGUUGGUGGGGUAAAGGCCCACCAAGGCGACGAUCAGUAGCUGGUCUGAGAGGACGACCAGCCACACUGGAACUGAGACACGGUCCAGACUCCUACGGGAGGCAGCAGUGGGGAAUUUUGGACAAUGGGCGCAAGCCUGAUCCAGCCAUUCCGCGUGAGUGAAGAAGGCCUUCGGGUUGUAAAGCUCUUUCGCAAGGGAAGAAAACUUAGCCUCUAACAUAGGCUGAGGUUGACGGUACCUUGAUAAGAAGCACCGGCUAACUACGUGCCAGCCGCCGCUGUAG
rnacentral:rRNA from 1 species